GUUUGGUUUGCCAUCACUUUUUGUGACUUUUCUGACAUCUGCAAGUGUCGGAAGUGUGACCUGAAACAUUUAAGGACACUUCUGCCUGAACCAUGGGCAGAUGUUUAGACUCCAAGAUACAGAGGAGGAGGGUCUUGGAGGUUUCUUAGUAUAAGUUCCUCCCUGUGGUACUUGCAGUUCCUACAAGGGGCUGUCAGAGAAACAAGCCGGAGAAGAGCAAGACAUGGUCCUGGUGCAUGAAAGGAGCCUAAGAAAGAAGAGUGAAAGCUGCACGUGUUCUACCUCCAGAAAGCCAUAAAAGAGAAAAGAAUGUUGUACCAAACUAAGCAAAUGAAGCAUGAAAUGAAAAGCCGGUUGAGCUGGGAGGUAUAAAGAAUGGAAAGGAAGCAGCUACCACCCCUGGUAACCCCAUCAAUCCGGAGAAGCUUCGCAGAGUUACACUGUGCUCUGUCGGGAAGGAAAUGAAUUUUCCUCAUUGUACACAUUCCGAGAAAAAUGAGGCUAAGACUAUUUCAAAGGAUGUUCUACCUAAUUCGAAUGGGCUUUAAGUGCCAUCUUCACAAUAGCGCCAGAGUCUGGUGUCAGCAAACUGAACAAAUAGAGCUACAGGGAGCGAAUGGGGCUGGGUGCCUCUCCAAAACAUAUGCAGAUGAACUUGAGAUUUCAGAGGACGGUUAAUCCUACACAGCAGUCAAGUGCCUUCCCAGGGGGCUCCCUUCCAAACACUGGCUGCCACGUCAAACCAAAGGGGACGAGCAAUCAGACUCACCUCAAACGCCAGUUAAGAAAGCCGGCCUUACUUAAGCAAUCAAGGGCAAGUGAUCAGCCAACUCUGCUUUCUUUCCUUUCUCUUGGAUCAUUUAUAGACCUUGUGGCCGUGGCCACCACAUUGAGAAGCCCUUGGUCUCUACUUGGACUCACUAUAGCAGAGCAUCCUGGCAGGCAUCCACUGUGCCAUAUGCUUUCGGGAAGUCUGGAUGCUGAAUGUGGUGGCUGUGGGGAAUUGAGCCUUAUUGCUUCAUAAGAUUCCUGGUGGUAGAACUAUUCUGAACAAGAACACGUCCGUCCCCAUAGGUGUGCUCCAAGAAUCACAGAAUAAGAAGGGACUUCGGAGAGAGCCUCACACAGUUGGGCAAUGGGAGCCCAGAGAGGCAAGGAAGGCUCCUUGCCCAAAGUCUUGUACAUCUGAAUCUGCAACUCCUGACUAUUUUUGAGUCUUAUGCUCCAGGCUAAAACUUGUGACUUUAAGUGUGAUGUUCUCGGUGAUGAUUAAUCUAGGAUGUUUCUGUUGUUUUCUUACCGUCAAAGAAUUAACAUCAAAAGGAAAGGAAGGAAGAAAUGUAGAAGUGAAGGCAAGAAGGAAGGAAGGAGGAAAGGAAGGAAGGAAAAUAUAGGCUUUGGGUAAAAAUAAGUUUCUACUCAACACUGACAAAGGUACAGGUUUUGGACAUUGGUUUCCUAAUCUGUAAAUGAGGAAUAGUCAUCACAUCGCUGUCCUGGCUGGUUUUGUGUGUCAACUUGACACAAGCUGGAGUUAUCACAGAGAAAGGAAAGAAAAUGCCUCCAUGAGAUCUAGCUGUAAAUGGAUUAGUGAUCAAGAGUGGGAGGGCCCAGUGUGGGUGGUGCCAUCCCUGGACUGGUGGUCCUGGGUUCUACAAGAAAACAAGCUGAGCAAGCCAGGGGAAGCAAGCCAGGGGAACAUCCCUCCACGGCUCUGCAUCAGCUCCUGCUUCCUGCCCUGUGUGAGUUCCAGUCCUGACUUCCUUUGGUGACGAACAGCAAUGUGAUAGUAUAAGCUGAAUAAACCCUUUCCUCCCCAAC
rnacentral:lncRNA from 1 species